AUUUAUAUAGUUUAAAGAAAACAUUACAUUUUCAGUGUAAAAUUAAUGAAAAAUUUAUAAAUA
rnacentral:tRNA from 1 species